GACGAACGCUGGCGGCGUGCUUAACACAUGCAAGUCGAACGGAAAGGCCCUGCUUUUGUGGGGUGCUCGAGUGGCGAACGGGUGAGUAACACGUGAGUAACCUGCCCUUGACUUUGGGAUAACUUCAGGAAACUGGGGCUAAUACCGGAUAGGAGCUCCUGCUGCAUGGUGGGCGUUGGAAAGUUUCGGCGGUUGGGGAUGGACUCGCGGCUUAUCAGCUUGUUGGUGGGGUAGUGGCUUACCAAGGCUUUGACGGGUAGCCGGCCUGAGAGGGUGACCGGCGACAUGGGGACUGAGAUACGGCGCAGAGUGCUACGGGAGGCAGCAGUGGGGAGUAUGGCACAAUGGGCGGGAGCGUGAUGCAGCAACGCCGCGUGCGGGAUGACGGCCUUCGGGGUGUAAACCGCUUUCGCCUGUGACGAAGCGUGAGUGACGGUAAUGGGUAAAGAAGCACCGGCUAACUACGUG
rnacentral:rRNA from 1 species